AUAACUUUUAAACUAGUCCAGAGAGGCUAGCAAGGUUGAAAUCAGGAAAAAUUGAUUCUAUUUUUACUGACAGGAUUUUCUGUCAGUAAAAGUGAAUUUGUUUUGAUACUUUUUACACUUGCUAGGAUUCUUGGCAAGUGUUUUUUAU
rfam:Lactococcus lactis subsp. lactis Il1403, complete genome.